CCUCAACUUCAGUAACCACAGGUUCACCUUUUACUGUUUCUGUAGGCUCAACUUCAGUAGCCACAGGUUCUUCUUUUACCGUUUCUGUAGCUUGAACUUCAGUAGCCACAGGUUCUUCUUUUACCAUUUCUCUAGGAUCAACUUCAGUAACCACAGGUUUGACUUUUACUGAUUCUGUCAGAUCAACUUCAGUAACCAGGGGUUCUUUUACUGUUUUUGUAAUUUCAACUUCUGUAGCCACAGCUUCUUCUUUUACUGUCUCUGUAGGAUCAACUUCAGUAACUAUAGGUUCGUCUUUUACCGUUUCUGUUGCCUCGAAUUCAGUAGCUGCAGGUUCAUCUUUUACCAUUUCUGUAGGCUCAACUACAGUUGUCACAGGUUCUUCUUUUACGGUUUCUGUAGCUUCAACUUCAGUAGCCACAGAUUCUUCUUUUACUGUUUCUGUAGCUUCAACUUCAGUAGCCACUGGUUCUUCUUUUACUGUUUCUGUAGCUUCAACUUCAGUAGCCACUGGUUCUUCUUUUACUGUUUCUGUAGCUUCAACUUCAGUAGCUGCAGGUUCGUCUUUUACCGUUUCUGUAGCCUCAACUUCAGUUGCCACAGGUUCUUCUUUUACCGUUUCUGUAG
rnacentral:lncRNA from 1 species